AUUUCCAGUCCCUGGUGGCAGUGGCCAGGAGGUGUUGGUGGCCUCCUCAAUAAUGCCACUCCACCGCUCUCCUUCCCACUGUGGGGCGGGGUGUCGGUCACGGGAUCCCUCUCCUGGGCUCAGAAAGUCAAUGCCUCUGAUCGUUGGGGACCUUGUGUCAUUACCUUGUUCCUGGGACCUCUGCCAGUUGCCACUCUGAGGAAUUACACUUGUGCUGUGCGGUCUGACUCCCCAGGCAGGUGGAGUUAAGCAGAGAAAAUGCCUCUAGGCACCUCCCUGCUGUUUCCCCAAAGGCUCUGAGGACUUGCUUGCUUCACAGACACAGUGGCCCCAGAAUCUUUGACCUACAUCUCCUGGAAUCUUCAACCAACCAGGGUUGGAGGACAUCAUCCUCUGCUGCUAUGGACAAGAAGACCAUGUGUGGACAAGACGUCUAAGCAUGCUGUGGCCUUGGGUGCCAUCUUCCAGAAUCCGUGGCCACCAAGGGAGAAGCAUUCAACCUGCUUGGCCCCCUUUGCUCAGAGUCCUUCUCCUCUGCCAUCUUACCCCCCACCACUCCUGGGAGUUGUCCAGCCCUACGGCCUGGUUGGCUCAUGUUUUGACCUCAUGUCAUCACAAUUCCCAAGGGCCCUGUGUCUUCACCCUGAUGCUCCUGCCACACUGACUUUUAUGACUUAAUACCAAGCCCAGAGCUCCUCUGAUGCCCUGCUCCUUAGAUGGAACCGCCUGGAAUUCUGAGGAAGGUUACAAGAUUACACUGGAGCUUGGCCCCACUACUGGGAUCUUGGAUGCUAUGAAUUGCCCAUUUUCCCUUUGCCAAUCUUUUAACUGGGCUGUUUGUCUUUUUAUUUUUGAGUUGUAAGAGUUUUUACACAUUCAGGAUACAAGUCCCUUAUCAGAAACAUAAUUUACAAAUAUUUUCUCCCAUCCUGUGGGCUGUCUUUGGAUGCUUCUUAAUCACCUUUAUCCCCACAGUCUCUAGCACAGUAGAUCAUUCAAUAAACAUCUAUUGAAUUCAACUGAAUUACUCUUAGGUCUUUUAGGCAAAGUCU